GACGAACGCUGGCGGCGUGCUUAACACAUGCAAGUCGAACGGAAAGGCCCUGCUUUUGUGGGGUGCUCGAGUGGCGAACGGGUGAGUAACACGUGAGUAACCUGCCCUUGACUUUGGGAUAACUUCAGGAAACUGGGGCUAAUACCGGAUAGGAGCUCCUGCUGCAUGGUGGGGGUUGGAAAGUUUCGGCGGUUGGGGAUGGACUCGCGGCUUAUCAGCUUGUUGGUGGGGUAGUGGCUUACCAAGGCUUUGACGGGUAGCCGGCCUGAGAGGGUGACCGGCCACAUUGGGACUGAGAUACGGCCCAGACUCCUACGGGAGGCAGCAGUGGGGAAUAUUGCACAAUGGGCGGAAGCCUGAUGCAGCAACGCCGCGUGCGGGAUGACGGCCUUCGGGUUGUAAACCGCUUUCGCCUGUGACGAAGCGUGAGUGACGGUAAUGGGUAAAGAAGCACCGGCUAACUACGUGCCAGCAGCCGCGGUGAUACGUAGGGUGCGAGCGUUGUCCGGAUUUAUUGGGCGUAAAGGGCUCGUAGGUGGUUGAUCGCGUCGGAGGUGUAAUCUUGGGGCUUAACCCUGAGCGUGCUUUCGAUACGGGUUGACUUGAGGAAGGUAGGGGAGAAUGGAAUUCCUGGUGGAGCGGUGGAAUGCGCAGAUAUCAGGAGGAACACCAGUGGCGAAGGCGGUUCUCUGGGCCUUUCCUGACGCUGAGGAGCGAAAGCGUGGGGAGCGAACAGGCUUAGAUACCCUGGUAGUCCACGCUGUAAACGGUGGGUACUAGGUGUGGGGUCCAUUCCACGGGUUCCGUGCCGUAGCUAACGCUUUAAGUACCCCGCCUGGGGAGUACGGCCGCAAGGCUAAAACUCAAAGGAAUUGACGGGGCCCCGCACAAGCGGCGGAGCAUGCGGAUUAAUUCGAUGCAACGCGUAGAACCUUACCUGGGUUUGACAUGGAUCGGGAGUGCUCAGAGAUGGGUGUGCCUCUUUUGGGGUCGGUUCACAGGUGGUGCAUGGCUGUCGUCAGCUCGUGUCGUGAGAUGUUGGGUUAAGUCCCGCAACGAGCGCAACCCUUGUUCACUGUUGCCAGCACGUUAUGGUGGGGACUCAGUGGAGACCGCCGGGGUCAACUCGGAGGAAGGUGGGGAUGACGUCAAGUCAUCAUGCCCCUUAUGUCCAGGGCUUCACGCAUGCUACAAUGGCUGGUACAGAGAGUGGCGAGCCUGUGAGGGUGAGCGAAUCUCGGAAAGCCGGUCUCAGUUCGGAUUGGGGUCUGCAACUCGACCUCAUGAAGUCGGAGUCGCUAGUAAUCGCAGAUCAGCAACGCUGCGGUGAAUACGUUCCCGGG
rnacentral:rRNA from 1 species